AGACAUACAACAUCAGGAGGAGGGGGUUGAUUCCUGCUAGAGAACCCCAUUAAAGACAUACAACAUCAGGAGGACGGGGUUGAUUCCUGCUAGAGAACCCCAUUAAAGACAUACAACAUCAGGAGGACGGGGUUGAUUCCUGCUAGAGAACCCCAUUAAAGACAUACAACAUCAGGAGGAGGGGGUUGAUUCCUGCUAGAGAACCCCAUUAAAGACAUACAACAUCAGGAGGAGGGGGUUGAUUCCUGCUAGAGAACCCCAUUAAAGACAUACAACAUCAGGAGGACGGGGUUGAUUCCUGCUAGAGAAACCCAUUAAAGACAUACAACAUCAGGAGGACGGGGUUGAUUCCUGCUAGAGAACCCCAUUAAAGACAUACAACAUCAGGAGGACGGGGUUGAUUCCUGCUAGAGAACCCCAUUAAAGACAUACAACAUCAGGAGGAGGGGGGUUGAUUCCUGCUAGAGAAACCCGUAAGACAUACAGUGUUUAUACAGUUUUAUGGUUUGACAAAGCAAAUUACAAGAUAGAAUUUCACCCUUAGCUGGAACCGAAACACUUCAGUGGCCCCUGCGGUUAGUCAAAGGAGACCCCAAUAAACUGGUAACAGUGAGAUCAUAGGAGGAAUGACCCUGCCUGCUCACACCACAGAGGAUAUGUAGAUGGCUGGACCUUUAGGGUCAUAACCCGAUUUGACGCCUUGGUAGAGGUACGUCUCCUUCACACACACAGAACAAUAAGGGUCUAUAAACAAAGACAGGCAGAUAUAUUUUUUAAAGGGCUGUCAAGGAUGUCCAAUUUUAUGGGAGGAUAUUCCCAAGGUGUCUAUCUGGUCAGCAGUUUUAUUGUUCUUCUGGCAGAGGGGAUAUUCCUUUUUUAAACACACCACGUAAACACACACGUGGUAACAGAGUAUUCAUGCUGAAUUCAGUGACCUUUUGAUGUUACCAGUGGCAACAAAGGAUCUGCAGGAACUCUGAGUUCCAUAUGAGACACAAAUUCAACCACUUCAGAGAGAGAGAGACGUGUUUCACCAGUUCGGCUUCUCGCCAUCUGACCAACAUCUCAAAAGGGGUAUGAGUUGUUAAGAGUUUGAUGUACUGGUGCCCGAGCUCACCACCUUCUGUAGAGCCUUCCGGGUCGGUUGCCUUGCAGUUGCCGAACCAAGUGGUGAUGUAGCCAGUCAAGAUGCUCUCAGUGGUGCAGCCAGUCAAGAUGCUCUCAGUGGGGCAGCCAGUCAAGAUGCUCUCAGUGGUGCAGCCAGUCAAGAUGCUCUCAGUGGUGCAGCCAGUCAAGAUGCUCUCAGUGGUGCAGCCAGUCAAGAUGCUCUCAGUGGUGCAGCCAGUCAAGAUGCUCUCAGUGGGGCAGCCAGUCAAGAUGCUCUCAGUGGUGCAGCCAGUCAAGAUGCUCUCAGUGGUGCAGCCAGUCAAGAUGCUCUCAGUGGUGCAGCCAGUCAAGAUGCUCUCAGUGGUGCAGCUGUAGAACUUUUAGAGAAUCUGAGGGCCAACACCAAGAACAGAAUAUGACUUGGCCUACUGUUAGUUAUCUGGCAAUGCUCCAUCUCAUACGCUGUAGGCUUGUUUAGCUGACAACAUAUGCUUUAUUUUAUGCCAUUAUUUUAUUUUGUAGUAAGAAGAAUAUAAUUGAACUUAGCUGAAUAAAAUAGAAAUGGUAUUUUUCCAUUCUUGAGCCCGUGUGCAUAUGAAGUGUCUAUGUUUCGUGUAAAAGUGAUCAUUUUAAACGGGUCCUAUAUGCUAGACUUAGAGUUAUUUGGAAACUUUAGAUGUGACUGAUACAAACCUUAGAAUGUCUUAGAAAUCAUAACAUAUAUGGGCUGCAUGAUGUGACUAUAGUCUAUUGAUGAUUUGAGAAAGUAGCAAAAAUAAAAAGACUGUGAUCUGUUCCUUGCCUCAGGCUGCAACAGCUGUUCUCUCAUCAAGUGAUCAUAUUUUACCCCUUCAGACUAUUCUCAUUUUUAUCUUGUCUUUGCUAAUGUGUAAAAAAUAGUUUUGAUUUAGAAUGGUCCAUUAUUAAAUGGGGAGGAACCAGGGCAGGGAAAAAAUAUAUGUCCUCUGUAUCCCCUCAAUUAGCAAACGUGGCAGGUAGCCUAGUGGUUAGAGCGUUGGGCCAGUAACCAGCAGGUAGCCUAGUGGUUAGAGAGUUGGGCCAAUAACCAGCAGGUAGCCUAGUGGUUAGAGCGUUGGGCCAGUAACCAGCAGGUAGCCUAGUGGUUAGAGAGUUGGGCCAAUAACCAGCAGGUAGCCUAGUGGUUAGAGCGUUGGGCCAAUAACCAGCAGGUAGCCUAGUGGUUAGAGCGUUGGGCCAAUAACCGUAACGGUUUACCCAAGUUGACAAGAUAUAAAUCUGUCAUUCUGUCCCUGAACAGGCAGUUAACCCACUGUUCCUAGGCCGUCAUUGAAAAUAGGAACUUGUUCUUAACUGACUUGCCUGGUAGAAUAAACAUAUAUAAACAGAGACCACGCGCUUUCCCACUGGUUGGUGUUUCGAUGAUGUGUCGGAUACUUGGGUUUUAUAGAGGAGCAUCUGCUAAGAACUAAAUAUAGGAACACUUUUCACGCAAUAUAAGAACACACUCCACGCAUCGACCAUUGUUUGAGGACCAUGUU
ensembl:lncRNA